UACAGAGGUCUCAAGCGUUGUUCGGAUUCAUUGGGCGUAAAGGGUGCGUAGGCGGCGCGGUAAGUCGGGUGUGAAAUCUCGGAGCUUAACUCCGAAACUGCAUUCGAUACUGUCGUGCUUGAGGACUGGAGAGGUGACUGGAAUUUACGGUGUAGCGGUGAAAUGCGUAGAUAUCGUAAGGAAGACCAGUGGCGAAGGCGGGUCUCUGGACAGUUCCUGACGCUGAGGCACGAAGGUCAGGGGAGCAAACGGG
rnacentral:rRNA from 1 species